GUGUCAGCCGCCGCGGUAAUACGGAGGGAGCUAGCGUUGUUCGGAAUUACUGGGCGUAAAGCGUACGUAGGCGGUUAUUCAAGUCAGAGGUGAAAGCCCGGGGCUCAACCCCGGAACUGCCUUUGAAACUAGAUAGCUAGAAUCUUGGAGAGGUCAGUGGAAUUCCGAGUGUAGAGGUGAAAUUCGUAGAUAUUCGGAAGAACACCAGUGGCGAAGGCGACUGACUGGACAAGUAUUGACGCUGAGGUACGAAAGCGUGGGGAGCAAACAGGAUUAGAUACCCUAGUAGUCC
rnacentral:rRNA from 1 species